rnacentral:piRNA from 1 species
UGACAUCUACAUCAGCACUGUGGCUGU